rnacentral:lncRNA from 1 species
UCACGUGCUUUGUACAUGGGUUUAGAGCAUUUGGAAGAAAUCAAAACUAUUGGAGAAGAUGAAAUUAAUCCGUGGCUGGAAUUUCUCAAAGAAUAGAAACUGCUUCACGUGCUUGGUUUUGUUGCUGCAGUUCACUUAUCCACUUCCCCACUUUCCCAAUUACUUAGGAUUUGAUUUGCUUUCUUGUCAGUAUUUAUAUUU